CAAGCACAUUCACAGGUCCUCCCCAGGUUGUGGGGCCAGGAUUUGGUAGCUGGUGCUAAAAGAAAAUCCAUAAUUACAUCCUUGCCCUGGGACUGUGCCAGUGGCAACUGCCACUUAGUGGAACACAA
ensembl:snoRNA